AGCCUAACAGCUAGCCCAAACCCCUAAAUACAAUAGAACCCCUUCAAUUAACCCCACACACAGUAAAUUCACAAAACAAACCAUUUUUCCAUCCUAGUAUAGGAGAUAGAAAAGAGCCUAGGAGCAAUAGAGAUAGUACCGCAAGGGAAGGCUGAAAGAGAAAUGAAAUAAUCCAGAAAAGCCUAAAAAAGCAAAGACUAACCCUUGUACCUCUUGCAUCAUGAUUUAGCUAGCAAUAAUUAAGCAAAGAGCCCUUUAGUUAAGUACCGCAAGGGAAGGCUGAAAACCGAAAUGAAGUAAACCAAACACUCGAACCCUUCUCUGUGGCAAAAGAGUGGGAAGAUCUUCGAGUAGCGGUGACAGACCUACCGAACCUAGUUAUAGCUGGUUGCUUGGAAAAUGGAUAGAAGUUCAGCCUUUUAAAUUCUACCCUCAACUAGGAACACCUCAAACCCGCCAAUUAUAGAAGCUAAAAGAGUUAGUCAAGGGGGGUACAGCCCCUUUGAACAAGGACACAACCUUAACAGGAGGUUAAAGAUCAAAGUUAACAAGGACCAGUCUUUAAGUGGGCCUAAAAGCAGCCACCUUAGUAAAAAGCGUUACAGCUUAAAUUUCAAAAUUUGACCUUAGAUACCGACAAUUAAUUCUUAACCCCUAACCCUACCAAGCCAUCCUAUGCAUCCAUAGGAGUGACCCUGCUAAUAUGAGUAAUAAGAGCGCUCAGACUCUCUCCCUGACACAAGUAUAAAUCGGAACGGACCCCCCACCGAAACUUAACGGACCCAACAAAAGAGGGCACUGGACCGUACACAUCAAAACCAGAAAAUACUCCAAAAACAAACCGUUAACCCCACACUGGUGUAUCUAAAGGGGAAGGCUGAAAGAGAAAGAAGGAACUCGGCAAACACCUCAAGCCUCGCCUGUUUACCAAAAACAUCGCCUCUUGCAAAAUCAACGAAUAAGAGGUCCCGCCUGCCCAGUGACUAUAUGUUUAACGGCCGCGGUAUUUUGACCGUGCAAAGGUAGCGCAAUCACUUGUCUUUUAAAUGGAGACCUGUAUGAAUGGCAUCACGAGGGCUUAACUGUCUCCUUUCUCAAGCCAAUGAAAUUGAUCUCCCCGUGCAGAAGCGGGGAUGAACCCAUAAGACGAGAAGACCCUAUGGAGCUUUAGACACCAAAGCAGCUUACGUCAAAUACCCCUAAACAAAGGACUAAACUAAUUAAACCCUGCCCUAAUGUCUUCGGUUGGGGCGACCCCGGGGAAAUAAGUAACCCCCAUGAGGACUGGAAGCAUGCUUCCAAAACCAAGAGCCUCUGCUCUAAGAAUCAGAACUUCUGACCACCAGAUCCGGCAAAGCCGAUCAACGGACCGAGUUACCCUAGGGAUAACAGCGCAAUCCCCUUAUAGAGUCCCUAUCGACAAGGGGGUUUACGACCUCGAUGUUGGAUCAGGACAUCCUAAUGGUGCAGCCGCUAUUAAGGGUUCGUUUGUUCAACGAUUAAAGUCCUACGUGAUCUGAGUUCAGACCGGAGUAAUCCAGGUCAGUUUCUAUCUAUGUUAUGGCCUUUUCUAGUACGAAAGGACCGAAAAGAAGAGGCCAAUGUUAAAAAUACACCUCACCCUUACCUAGUGAAAUCAACUAAAAUAGGUAAAAGGGCAUGUGCUUCCCAGCCUAAGAUUACGGCCU
rnacentral:rRNA from 1 species